GCCGGGCAAGGUGGCUCAUGCCUGUAAUCCCAGUAGCUCAGAAGGCUGAGGCAGGAGGAUCAUGAGUUCAAAGCCAGCCUCAGCAAAAAUCAAGGUGCUAAGCAACUCAGUGAGAGCCCUGCCUCUA
rnacentral:sRNA from 1 species